UACGUAGGGCGCAAGCGUUGUCCGGAAUUAUUGGGCGUAAAGAGCUCGUAGGCGGCUUGUCACGUCGGGUGUGAAAGCCCGGGGCUUAACCCCGGGUCUGCAUUCGAUACGGGCUAGCUAGAGUGUGGUAGGGGAGAUCGGAAUUCCUGGUGUAGCGGUGAAAUGCGCAGACAUCAGGAGGAACACCGGUGGCGAAGGCGGAUCUCUGGGCCAUUACUGACGCUGAGGAGCGAAAGCGUGGGGAGCGAACAGG
rnacentral:rRNA from 1 species